rnacentral:rRNA from 1 species
CAGUCGCCACGGGAAUACGGAGGGAGCUAGCGUUGUUCGGAAUUACUGGGCGUAAAGCGCACGUAGGCGGCUUUGUAAGUUAGAGGUGAAAGCCUGGAGCUCAACUCCAGAAUUGCCUUUAAGACUGCAUCGCUUGAAUCCGGGAGGGGUGAGUGGAAUUCCGAGUGUAGAGGUGAAAUUCGUAGAUAUUCGGAAGAACACCAGUGGCGAAGGCGGCUUACUGGCUCAUACUGGACGCUGAGGUGCGAAAGCGUGGGGAGCAAACAGGAUUAGAUACCCCUGUAGUCCCUGUCUCUUAUAA